CACGUAGUUAGCCGGGGCUUUCUCGUGAGGUACCGUCACCGCGCCGCCCUCUUCGAGCGGCGCUCCUUCGUCCCUCACAACAGAGCUUUACGACCCGAAGGCCUUCUUCGCUCACGCGGCGUCGCUCCGUCAGGCUUUCGCCCAUUGCGGAAGAUUCCCUACUGCUGCCUCCCGUAGGAGUCUGGGCCGUGUCUCAGUCCCAGUGUGGCCGGUCACCCUCUCAGGCCGGCUACGCAUCGUCGCCUUGGUGAGCCGUUACCUCACCAACUAGCUAAUGCGCCGCGGGCCCAUCCGCAAGUGACAGCCCAAAGGCCGCCUUUCAACCGAAGACCAUGCGGUCUUCGGUGUUAUCCGGUAUUAGCUCCGGUUUCCCGGAGUUAUCCCGGUCUUGCGGGCAGGUUGCCCACGUGUUACUCACCCGUCCGCCGCUGACCGAAUCAAGGCAAGCCCCAAUCCGGUCCGCUCGACUUGCAUGUAUUAGGCACGCCGCCAGCGUUCGUCCUGAGCCAGGAUCAAACUCU
rnacentral:rRNA from 1 species